rnacentral:rRNA from 1 species
UACGGGGGGAGCAAGCGUUGUUCGGAUUUACUGGGCGUAAAGGGCGCGUAGGCGGCCUCCGCAAGUCAGUUGUGAAAUCUCCGGGCUUAACCCGGAAAGGUCAACUGAUACUGCGGGGCUAGAGUGCAGAAGGGGCAACCGGAAUUCUCGGUGUAGCGGUGAAAUGCGUAGAUAUCGAGAGGAACACCUGCGGCGAAGGCGGGUUGCUGGGCUGACACUGACGCUGAAGCGCGAAAGCUAGGGGAGCGAACGGG